GCUUGUCUCAAAGAUUAAGCCAUGCAUGUCUAAGUAUAAACAACUUUAUACUGUGAAACUGCAGAUGGCUCAUUAAAUCAGUUAUAAUCUAUUUGAUGAUUACUUACUACAUGGAUAACCGUGGUAAUUCUAGAGCUAAUACAUGCGCAAAGUCCCAACUUUCGGGGAGGGAUGUAUUUAUUAGAUACAAAACCAAUGCGGGUUCUGCUCGCCAUUGUGUUGAAUCAUAGUAACUUAUCGAACGCCAUAGCCUUGUGCUGGGCGUAGAUCAUUCAAAUUUCUGCCCUAUCAGCUUUCGACGGUAGUGUAGUGGACUACCGUGGCGUUAACGGGUAACGGGGAAUUAGGGUUCGAUUCCGGAGAGGGAGCCUGAGAAACGGCUACCACAUCCAAGGAAGGCAGCAGG
rnacentral:rRNA from 1 species